GGCUGCUCACACCCUGUUCAGGAGUCAGUCCCAUUCCAGACACGGCAUGGUCAUGGGGAUCCCUGCUCAUCUCCUGGGGCUCCUGCUGCUCUGGCUCCAAGGUGCAAGGUGUGACAUCCAGAUUACUCAGACUCCAUCCUCCUUGUCUGCAUCUGUGGGAGACACAGUCACCAUCAAUUGUCGGGCCAGUCAGGGUAUUAACAACUACUUAAACUGGUAUCAACAGAAACCAGGACAACCUCCUAAACGCCUGAUCUACUAUGCAACCAGUUUGGAAUCUGGGGUCCCAUCGAGGUUCAGAGGUAGUGGAUCUAGGACAGAUUACACUCUCACCAUCAGUAGCCUGCAGCCUGAAGAUGUUGCUAUUUAUUACUGUCAGCAAGGUUAUGAUACUCCUCCCACAGUGAUACAAGCCAUAACAAAAACCAGUCAGUAA